UUCAUAAUUGUUACAAAGUAUUGUCUGCAUGUGUCUGCUUUGUAACCAGUAUAUCCUGCAUCUGCAUGUGUCUGCUGUUGCCAACAAGUUCUGUCUGCUGUUGCCAUAUUGAUAAAACGAACUUCCCAAGUUUUAGUGCUGCACAGUAUUGGUUGGUCAUACACCUAUCGUUAACCUAGUGUGAUAUUAUUUGUUAAUGCCUGUAUACUUCAGAUGUUAACAGUUCGCCGGCAUGGUGCUGUAUAUGCUCUCUAUUUGCCUCUGAAUUUAUGUAUUUGUUUUUUCUUCAGCUUUACAAGACCAAGGAUGACAAGUACCUGCUAGAUAUGCAGAGAGUUACUGGACCUCAGCUCCUCUUCCUGGAUUUUUGCGCGGCCUUCCUUACCAACCUUAGGGUUCUAUAGUAUGGUGCCUGUUCUGGUUGAGUGAUGAAUAGUGAGACAUAUGACCGUCAGCGAUGAAUAAGUUGGUGCCUGUUCUGGUUGAGUGAUGAAUAGUGAGACAUGUGACUGUCAGAGAUGAAUAAGUGAUGGUGUGUAAAUAGGUGGUGUGUUUCAUCUUCGUUUUACCCAGUCCCUGACAGCGAACCGUGUUGUUUGGGUGACUAGUCCUGUGUGAAGCACCAAAAGUGUUGUUUGGGUGACUAGUCCUGUGUGAAGCACCAAAAGGUUAAGUGGUUGUUAUAAAUAAGACUUAUAUGGUAAAUAGGCGGUGCAAAGG
rnacentral:lncRNA from 1 species